GGGGGGUCAUCGCUUGGUUUUACUGCAAACUAGGGAAGUUUUCAGUCCAAUUGCUUUAUUUUGUUUUUUUUAUUAUUUAUUUAUUUUAUUUUUAUUUGCAUUAUAGUGUUUUCUGACAUUGGGGACAAUGUCCAGUUUAAGUUUGGGGGUAAAGAGUAUAAAAAUGACCAAAUUGAAAUUUUUUUUUGUACCUUCAACUACGAACGAGUUUCAUUUGUUUCCAUGUUGUUGCUUUUUGUUUUCUUAAUUAGUUUUGUUUUCUUAAAAAAAAAAAAUUUUAAAAAAAUAAAUAAAUAAAUAAAUCGGAAAAUUUAAAAAUCCAAAAAUAUUGUCUUGUUUCCCUUAUUGUUUUGAAUUAGAUUUUUGUUAGUUUCCCGACCCAAUGAUAUAAUUGGAUCAAAUUUGAACCAUGAUCAUCAAGAACUUAGUUAACAUGUGUUUUGUGAAAUUCCUAAUUCUCUUGUUAGUUUUGUACAUGUUUGAUCAUCUUUGAAAAACCAAAUGCACAUAGCCUUGUUGAUGUGAAACUAAAGCAUGACUUAAAGCUUCAUAUGUGAAUUUAGUGACCAUAUACAUCCUAUGUGAGUUUUUGAGCCGAUUGAAAGUGUGUGCAUUUUUCAUACACUCCUAUUCUUUCAUGUGUGAUGAACUUAUGUGAGAUACAUCUCUAGAACUUGCGUAACGAUCUUUCGAAAUGUUUGUCAUUGAUUGCAUGAACUUGGAAAUGAUAGAGGCAUUAGGUUUACCACUAUGGCCCAAAUAACCAUGUUUAUCAUUAGAUUGCCAAUUUGAGCCGUAUUUGUUGAGCCUUUUAUUUCUUAUCACCAGAUAUGUCUACCCUUAUACCUGAAACAUUUUUUCCUUACCCUUUCCAAGCAAGCAAUGAGAGAUUGUCUUAUGAGAAACGUUUGUGAAGUACUUUGAAGGUGUUUGGCAAAAGAAUAAGUGUGGGGGUAUUUCAUGUUUGUAUUUAAAAAAAAUAAAAAAUAAAAAAAUAAAAAAAAAAAAAAGAGAAAAGAGAAGAAAAGAAAAAGAAAAAGAAAGAUUGUACACAAAGAAAAUAAAAAGUUGUUCAAGUUUCAGUUUAAGGGUGUGGUUGGAGGUGCUAAAAGAAUCGUUGGAAAGGUUGAGUUCUUAUAAAUCUAA
rnacentral:lncRNA from 1 species